ensembl:lncRNA
CCCCCCACUUAAAAAUAAAAUAAAAACCCUCUCAUAUUGUUAAACCUGGAUGUCGGCAGGUAUGACGUGAACAUGAGCUGUGGUGCUGUUGUGUGUGUUAUACGGGCAGGUAUGAUGUGAACAUGAGCUGUGGUGCUGUUGUGUGUUAUAUCAGCAGGUAUGAUGUGAACAUGAGCUGCGGUGCUGUUGUGUGUGUGUUAUAUGGGCAGGUAUGAUGUGAACAUGAGCUGCAGUGCUGUUGUGUGUUAUAUCAGCAGGUAUGAUGUGAACAUGAGCUGCGGUGCUGUUGUGUGUGUGUUAUAUGGGCAGGUAUGAUGUGAACAUGAGCUGCAGUGCUGUUGUGUGUUAUAUCAGCAGGUAUGAUGUGAACAUGAGCUGCGGUGCUGUUGUGUGUGU